AAUGUAAAGUUUUUCCAGUGAAACAAAACGUAAGAAUCUGAGUUUGUUUUUCAAAGAUCACUAAAUUUUAGUUAUGAUUAUAUCACAUUUUCCAAAAUGUGUGGCAGUUUUUGCCCUCCUUGCUCUGAGUGUUGGUGCACUGGACACUUUUAUUGCUGCAGUAUAUGAGCAUGCGGUGAUAUUACCAAACAGAACAGAAACACCUGUUUCAAAAGAAGAAGCUUUGCUCCUGAUGAACAAGAACAUAGAUGUUUUGGAGAAAGCAGUUAAGCUGGCAGCGAAGCAGGGUGCACAUAUCAUUGUGACCCCAGAAGAUGGAAUCUAUGGUUGGAUCUUCACCAGGGAGAGCAUUUACCCCUAUCUAGAGGAUAUACCAGACCCUGGAGUGAACUGGAUUCCAUGUAGAGACCCCUGGAGAAAUCACUAAAAUAUAGUAAGUUUGAGGAAAUGUCUAUUGAAUUAGAUUCGGCAACACACCAGUGCAACAAAGACUCAGCUGCCUGGCCAAGGACAACUCUAUCUAUGUCGUGGCUAAUAUUGGGGACAAGAAGCCAUGCAAUGCCAGUGACUCUCAGUGUCCCCCUGAUGGCCGUUACCAAUACAACACUGAUGUGGUGUUUGAUUCUCAGGGAAAACUGUUGGCACGCUACCAUAAGUACAAUCUUUUUGCACCUGAAAUUCAGUUUGAUUUCCCCAAGGAUUCAGAACUUGUGACUUUUGACACUCCCUUUGGGAAGUUUGGCAUUUUUACUUGCUUUGACAUUUUUUCUCAUGACCCAGCUGUGGUGGUGGUGGAUGAGUUUCAAUUGACAGCAUUCUCUACCCCACAGCAUGGUACAACACGCUGCCCCUCCUCUCGGCUGUUCCCUUCCAUUCAGCAUGGGCCAAGGCCAUGGGAGUCAAUCUACUUGCUGCAAAUACCCACAACACCAGCAUGCACAUGACAGGGAGUGGAAUCUACGCCCCAGAAGCAGUCAAGGUGUACCACUAUGACAUGGAAACAGAGAGUGGUCAGCUGUUGCUAUCAGAACUGAAGUCUCGGCCCCGCCGUGAGCCCACCUACCCUGCAGCUGUUGACUGGCAUGCGUAUGCCAGCAGUGUCAAGCCAUUUUCCUCUGAACAGUCAGAUUUUCUGGGGAUGAUUUAUUUUGAUGAGUUUACCUUCACCAAGCUUAAGAGAAAUACAGGAAAUUACACAGCUUGCCAGAAAGAUCUGUGUUGUCACUUAACUUACAAGAUGUCUGAGAAGCGAACAGACGAGAUCUAUGCCCUAGGUGCUUUUGAUGGACUGCACACAGUAGAAGGCCAAUAUUACUUACAGAUAUGUGCAUUACUGAAGUGUCAAACCACUGACCUGGAAACGUGUGGAGAACCUGUGGGGUCAGCUUUUACCAAGUUUGAAGACUUCUCCCUCAGUGGCACAUUUGGAACGCGUUAUGUUUUCCCACAGAUCAUUCUAAGUGGGAGUCAGCUUGCCCCUGAAAGACAUUAUGAGAUUUCAAGAGAUGGACGCUUGAGGAGCCGAAGUGGAGCCCCUUUGCCUGUCUUAGUUAUGGCCCUGUAUGGAAGAGUGUUUGAGAAGGACCCUCCACGCUUAGGGCAGGGAUCUGGGAAAUUCCAGUGAUCUCCUUUAGCAGAGCCCUUUUAGGAUUAGCCUGGCUAAGAAAGGAAGAAAAAAAAGAGAUCCGUUAGUGUCUGUUUAGAAAAGAUGUUAUAAACUUACAGAAACAAAUAUAAUAAACUGAAGCAGAUUUGAAAAGCAA